rnacentral:lncRNA from 1 species
UCUUUCGUUUAUUGCUUCACCUUUCCUGCUGCCACCUAGGAUGGCCGUUGCUUCCGCUACAUACAGUUCCCUGUUGUCGGCCGCUGUUCUGCGUAUUGCCGCGUCUUCCCAGUUAGUUUCAGCAUUGCAUUCAUGGGCUCUUCUGGCUGGGGCUGUGGUUUGCUUGCCUCCUCGAAUAUCCCUCCGGUGUUCAUCUGUUCUAGCCUUUAGGUUCCUGGCCGUCGCUCCUACAUGUGCCUCUUCCGUGUGUCGGUCGAGAUUUGCUAGAGGUAUUUCAUGCACCCCUGAUUGUUCGGCUGUGUCAUGUUUGU